CCAACGACUGUUGACGAAGGACAGAGACUGUCAACUAUCGGUACUGGUAGUCAAUUCCUCAAUCGCAGUCGUCAAGACACCAAGCAUCACGGUCACUAAUACCCAUGGUGAUCAACUAUAAAAGGACUUCCUGGAUUAAAGUUGUUCUGAAUUACAACUGUGCUAGAUUACUCAUGUCUAACCGCAAAUUCCAAGCUGACAAUGGAGUUCACAGUACUCUACAAAAACGAAGAGGAAACUUAAGUUUGCUAAUCAGAGAUUUUCUCCGUCUUUGUCCAUUCUCUGAACAUAGUGACAUCUUGAUGAAAAGUGUCUUCCCUACUUGCCUAGCUACGUUACACCCCCAAUUCACAUGCUUAGAAGAGUCCUGCAAGAUACCUAUUACCGAGAGAGCAACUGCCUGAUAGGUCACACACACUUCACAAGUUAGGCACUGAUAAUCUCCAGAUUGGAUUGGAAACAUGUACUCAGACUUAAGAUUAGAUAACUUUGUUCAAGGUUACUUUACGCGGCGAUGUAGAAAUUGGGGCAUGAACAGCCGCAGUGAGUUGUUCAUACGACUGAACUCAUCGUUCACGUGUUAAUUGCAUAAGGCGGUGGAGGAACCGAAGCGACAUUGAUUAGAGGACGGGUUGUUUGGAACCCUUUCGUCUCCUCUACAUGCAAAUACAACUGCAGGCAUGAAAAAACGAUUAAACUCACCGAACUCAUGGUUACAUUUCGAGGGAGGGCAAGUGCUAACCCCAGAAUGCUGCCUGCGGAAGGACGCAAUAGCCUCUUAGCUAGUAGACUGGUCUGGCUACUUCUGAAUUCCGGUUCUUCGCGUGAAUCGCGACUGAGGUGUGAUCGUGUCUAGCUGUUAAUAACUCACGCUCUUAUUGACAGCCACUGGUGACCCCUGCAUGCUUCUUGGAGUUUUGUCACAACAGUUAUGAGAAUGUCGAUUUUGAUCCAGCUACAACGCCACAUAUCUGCAUAAGCACUGCACCGAUAAGCGAGAAUGAGAAUUGCAUCAUUGCUUCAAUUUGUCAGGUC
rnacentral:lncRNA from 1 species